UCCUACGGGGGGCAGCAGUGAGGAAUAUUGGUCAAUGGUCGGGAGACUGAACCAGCCAAGCCGCGUGAGGGAGGAAGGUACAGAGUAUCGUAAACCUCUUUUGUCAGGGAACACAGACUGGGACGCGUCCCCGGAUGAGUGUACCUGAAGAAAAAGCAUCGGCUAACUCCGUGCCAGCAGCCGCGGUAAUACGGAGGAUGCGAGCGUUAUCCGGAUUUAUUGGGUUUAAAGGGUGCGCAGGCGGUCUGUUAAGUCAGCGGUCAAAGCCCGGGGCUCAACCCCGGCCCGCCGUUGAAACUGGCAGU
rnacentral:rRNA from 1 species